GUUGUACCUGAAAGGCUAUUUGUGGGUGCUACUCAGAGUAAGCGUAUUUGAAAUACAGCUACAUAGUCAGUAUUCAUAACUCCAGAUAUAAAAAAUGAUACAUGCAUACAAAUAGAAUAAUUAUAUUCCGCAAAUCAUAACUUUUCUAAAGACACCUUAGAUGC